CAAUAGCGUAUAUUAAAGUUGUUGCAGUUAAAAAGCUCGUAGUUGAAUGUUGGUGUCGAACGAGCGGUCAGCUUCGGCUGUACUGCUCUCUCGACUCCUUCCUUCUGUGGACUACGUCGCACUUUACUGUGUGGCGCUAGGACGCAGAUCGUUUACUGUGAAAAAAUUAGAGUGUUUAAAGCAGGCAAUCGCUUGAAUACAUUAGCAUGGAAUAAUAAGAUAGGACUUUGGUACUAUUUUGUUGGUUUGCAUACCAAAUUAAUGAUCAACAGGAACAGUUUGAGGAUAUUCGUAUGAACAUGUCAGAGGUGAAAUUCUUGGAUUUUGAUCAGACGAACUACUGCGAAAGCAUUUAUCAAGGAUGUUUUCAUUAA
rnacentral:rRNA from 1 species